GAUGAACGCUAGCGACAGGCUUAACACAUGCAAGUCGAGGGGCAGCACGGGAGUAGCAAUACAACUGGUGGCGACCGGCGCACGGGUGAGUAACGCGUAUGCAACCUACCUAUCAGAGGGGAAUAACCCGGCGAAAGUCGGACUAAUACCGCAUAAAACAGGGGCACCGCAUGGUGAUAUUUGUUAAAGAAAUUCGCUGAUAGAUGGGCAUGCGUUCCAUUAGGUAGUUGGUGAGGUAACGGCUCACCAAGCCGACGAUGGAUAGGGGAACUGAGAGGUUGGUCCCCCACACUGGUACUGAGACACGGACCAGACUCCUACGGGAGGCAGCAGUGAGGAAUAUUGGUCAAUGGGCGGGAGCCUGAACCAGCCAAGUCGCGUGAAGGAAGAAGGAUCUAUGGUUCGUAAACUUCUUUUGCAGGGGAAUAAAGUGCGGGACGUGUCCUGUUUUGUAUGUACCCUGAGAAUAAGGAUCGGCUAACUCCGUGCCAGCCGCCGCGGUAAAAC
rnacentral:rRNA from 1 species